UACGGGGGGUGCAAGCGUUGUCCGGAAUGAUUGGGCGUAAAGCAUCUGUAGGUGGUUUUUAAAGUCGACUGUGAAAGCCCAGGGCUCAACUUUGGAAAAGCGGUCGAGGACUUAAGAACUCGAGUUUGGUAGGGGUAGAGGGAAUUCCUAGUGGAGCGGUGAAAUGCACAGAGAUUAGGAAGAACACCGAUGGCGAAAGCACUCUACUGGGCCACGACUGACACUGAGAGAUGAAAGUUGGGGGAGCGAAGAGG
rnacentral:rRNA from 1 species